rnacentral:rRNA from 1 species
CACGUGAGGAACUUGCCAUGAGCGGGGGACAACAUUCGGAAACGGAUGCUAAUACCCCAUAGGUGGAUUGGUCGCAUGACGAAUUCAUUAAAGGUGGCUUUGCUACCACUCAUGGAUAGCCUCGCGGCGUAUUAGCUAGUUGGUAAGGUAAUGGCUUACCAAGGCAGUGAUACGUAGCCGACUUGAGAGGGUGAUCGGCCACACUGGGACUGAGACACGGCCCAG